AUACGGAGGGUGCAAGCGUUAUUCGGAAUUACUGGGCGUAAAGCGCACGUAGGCGGCCUUGUAAGUCAGGGGUGAAAUCCCACGGCUCAACCGUGGAACUGCCUUUGAAACUGCAGGGCUUGAAUCCUGGAGAGGGUGGCGGAAUUCCUGGUGUAGGAGUGAAAUCCGUAGAUAUCAGGAGGAACACCGGUGGCGAAGGCGGCCACCUGGACAGGUAUUGACGCUGAGGUGCGAAAGUGUGGGGAGC
rnacentral:rRNA from 1 species